GCUCCUGGACGUCCACGUCUCCACCGCCAAACAUAGUCACAUCCUGGGGGGGCGGGUCUCCUGCUCGGACUGGUGCACGGCAGAAGACUCGGACCGCUACCGCGCAACUCCCUGCCCAACCACGCAGGGUUUCAAAGCGUAAAGAGAUGACCAACGGUCCAGCCUCACCGCCGCCAAAGAAAUCCAAAAAAACUCCUCCUGCUGCCCGGAAAUCCAGUAGUGUCCUCCGCAGCAAGAGGCAGUCCUAUGCCAGGAAUGCCCCCCAAGACCCAGGAUGCCCCCAAGACCCAGGCGGCGGUGGCAGCAGCUCCCACUACAAACUCAGAG